rnacentral:rRNA from 1 species
AAAAGGGGUGACUGCGUACCUUUUGUAUAAUGGGUCAGCGACUUACGUUCAGUUGCGAGCUUAACCGAAUAGGGGAGGCGUAGCGAAAGCGAGUCUGAUAAGGGCGUCAGAGUAGCUGGGCGUAGACCCGAAACCGGAUGAUCUAUCCAUGGCCAGGAUGAAGGUGCCGUAACAGGUACUGGAGGUCCGAACCCACUAACGUUGAAAAGUUAGGGGAUGAGCUGUGGAUAGGGGUGAAAGGCUAAAACAAAUCCGGAAAUAGCUGGUUCUCCCCGAAAACUAUUUAGGUAGUGCGUCGUACGGACACUUGCGGGGGUAGAGCACUGUAAUCGUUGGGGGGGUCAUUGCGAUCUACCCCGCGAUAGCAAACUCCGAAUACCGCAAAAGUGAUAUACGGCAGACAGACAUCGGGUGCUAACGUCCGGUGUCAAGAGGGAAACAACCCAGACCGCCAGCUAAGGUCCCAAAUGCAUGGCUAAGUGGCAAACGAGGUGGGAAGGCAUAGACAGCUAGGAGGUUGGCUUAGAAGCAGCCAUCCUUUAAAGAAAGCGUAAUAG